CAUAUAUACAACCGGGUC
rnacentral:piRNA from 1 species